rnacentral:lncRNA from 1 species
GUUCGGUUUUAUUUUUUUUCGGUUCGAUUCGGUUUGAAAUUUUAAAAAAAUCGGUGAUUUCGGUUCGGUUCGGUUUUAGACGUAAAAAUUUCGAUUAGACCGAACCGAACCGAAAUCACUUAUACUACGUCGUUUGAGUAGUUUCCUAAUUCCCUAUUUCCCUUCCCUUCCUUUGCCUAAAUUUAAAACAAAUUUCUGUCUCUCCGUGCAUCUCUAUCUCUGUGCUCACCCACCCCUAAACCUAACGCCCUCACCUCUCAACGUGCCUCGCCUCUGAGUUCCAUCCAAGUUCCAGCGGCGGUUCCACCAUCCACCGUCCAGCCUCCGGUCUCUUUCUGAGUAGUAGAGCCACGCACGCAUCUCGUCGCGAGAUUCUCGCGCAUGUGAUGUGCCUCCACUCUCCUCUCGACUGGACUGAUUCACCAUCGUCGAUCUUCACCGAUCUUUAGUCUCUCUUUCCACGCAAUCAUCGGCGUCGGCCGUCGCUCUCUAUUGGCUCUCCACGCAUCAUCGGGCAGUCAGCAAUUUGGUCGUGCUUAUUCCACAGCCCUCAGUCCUCUCCGAGUCUCUGUGUCGCGCUUCCAGCCUUGAGCCUUUCACAGUUCGUGGACCAGACUCCAGGACCAAGAGUGCCACUUAGAGUGCCACUCGCGCCUCCAGCCCUCGGUUGUGUCGGACAUGGUUGCCUGCCAGUGCCACGGCGUGCUGUUGAACUUGAGUCAACCGUAGAAGCUAAGUAAAUAUUUGUGAUUUGCUGUUGAUUGUUGAAUUUAUGUACUCUUGGUUGAAUUUGUGUACUAUUGAUUGUUGAAUUUGUGUUAUUGAUUGUUCAAGUGUGUGCUCUUGAUUGUUGAUGUAAACUCAUGGCCGUGAAGUAUUCUAUUCUAGAUUAUGUUAACUGUUAUUGAUUUUUUUUUAAAUCGGUUCAAUCGAUUGAACCGACCGAACCGAACCGAACCGAAUCAAAUCGGUUCGACUCGAUUAUCCCUCUUAUUCGAUUCGGUUUGGUUUAUGUAAAAUACUGCAAUUCGGUUUUCGGUUAUUUCGGUUCGGUUCGGUUUUGAACCGAACCGACCGAAUGCUCAGCCCUAGUUCGAGAUACUCAGAACGCUCAUAUCAGAUAACGGAAAGUAAUUCGACUGCAACUCUUUUCGAGAUUUCACAAGGAACAUGGGUAUAUGGCAUAAGUUUUCCUCAAUAGCUUAUCCACAGACGAAUGGCCAAACCGAGGUGACAAAUCGAGCUAUCUUCUAAGGGCUGAAAAAGUGGUUAGAUGGUGCUAAAAUGAAUUGGGCAGCUGAGCUGCAUAGCAUCUUAUGGGCAUUGCAAACUACACCUCGGACAUUAACAGGGGAGAAAUCAUUCGCAUAGCAUUUGGAAUAGAAGUUGUAGUCCCCAUAUAGCUAUAGAUUUCUACUCACUGGGUCCAAUUCAAUGAUGAAAGCACCAAUGGUGAGAAAUUGAGAAGCAACUUGCAUGCCCUAGAAGAGAUCAGAGAUGAAACACAGGUACGAACAAUCGUCUAUUAGCAGAAGGCAGCUCGGUAUUACAACCAAAAAGUCCUUGAGGGGAACUUAAAGGUUGAGAACCUAGCCGUGAAAAGAUUGAAAGCCACGGGAAAGAGAGUUACAAUUAUAAAAUUAGCAUUGACCUGAGAAAGACCAUUUAGAAUCUCCGUCAUCAGACCGGGAGUAUACAGAAUCAAAGACUUGUAGGAAAAUAAAAUCUCACGCUUGGAAUAUCCAGCACUUAAAAUAGUAUUUUCCAAAAACAUGUACAAUGCAAUUAUUGUAUCAAAAAUAUAAAUAAAAUUAUUUGUUCUACUCUCAAAACACUUCUAAGCAAAUGAUAAAAACCUCAAUGAGAUAAGUGACCGGUCUCGGAAAUAAGACUGUCGACACCACAAAACCGAUUGAGAAGAUGAAACCCUUAAUGAGAUAGCUAAUCGGUCUCAGAAAUAAAACCGCUGGUACCACAAAACCAGUUGAGAAGAUGAAGCCCUUAAUGAGAUAGGUGAUCGAUCUCGAAAAUAAGACCACCAGCACCAUAAAAUCGGCCGGUCUUAAAAAUAAGACCAUCGGUAUUACAAAACCGAUUGAGAAGAUAAAGGCCACGCUAAAGGCCCAUGUUGGAAAAGCUAUAAGUUAAAAGAAAUGAACUAGGGGGCGCGAUGCCGACCUUAAGAAAGAAUCUCAGCAUAUGCAAAGUCUAAAGAAAAAGGAAAAUAAAGUCGAGGUUUGAUGCCGACCUCACUAAAAAGCUCGGCUCAAAGAAAGAUAAAACCGAGGUUUGAUGCUAACCUCACCAAAGAGCUCGACUCACAAAAAAUAAAGUUAAAACUUGGUGCCGACCUCAUAAAAGAGCUUGACACCCCUAAAAUUUAAAGGGAAAUAAAACUAAGUCAUAAUCUCACCCUUGAAAAGGGGGCUUGGCACCCCUAAAACUCUGAAAAAAUUAAAACCAAGACAUAGUAUCGACCCAAAAGAGAGCUCGGUCCAAAUCAAAAUAAAAUUAAGGCCUGAUACUAACCGUAGAAAUGGACCUGCGAAUAUCAAAAUAUGAGCAAGUGGAAGGUAUAAUUUUGGGACACUGAGAAUCAAGGCAAAAAGCUGUACAAAAACUAGAGACAAUAACAAACAAAAGUUCGGCCAGCUAAAAACUUCAAGGGAACAGAAGGCAUAAAACACUAAGGCAUUCGAUAAACAAAGAGCAAAAUACAAUAAGUUAGACGCUUUACAAGCAAAACAUCAAACGAGUAACCAAUCUAGCAUAACUUGCGAGCAGCAUACAUAAAAACAGUCUAAGUAUAAGAAUGCAAAUAAAAUUAAAUAGACCAAAAAAAUGAAAGUGAACAGAUGAAAAAUAACAUAAAAACUUAAAAUUUUAUUAAUGCAAUUAGCCAUUGGAAUGAGUUACAAAAACAGUAAGGGAAGGAGGAGCAGAACUGACUAGGUCAUUUAUAGUAUUAUUAUUUACAAAAUUGCCUUCUCUGCAAUCCAGAGGGCAAAGAAGAAGGGUUCUUGGGCAAGUGAUUGUCGUCCUCUCCAUAGCAUAUCUCCUCAUCGUCAAAAUCGAGUUCGAGGGCUCGUAAGCCAGCCAACGAAGUGGAGGGGGCAUCCUGAGCUGCUUUAAGGCCCUGGUUGAAGCCUGAAGCAAAUAUGCGAAAGGCCUCUUUGUAUAUCCUCUCCUUUAGCUUUGCUGAGGCCUUAUAUUCCUCCAAUCGCGCUUCACAGGCCUGCUGGAUUCUCUCCUUCAAGUAUGCAAAAUCCCUAUACUCUUGCAAUCGCUCCUCAUAGGCUUGCUAGACCCUGCCCUCUGUAGCCUGAGCAUCCCUCAGCAAUGAAGUACACCUCUCCUUUAAGGUAGAGACCUCUUGGCAAAGUUGUUGUUGCUGAAGUCGAAACUCCUUUGUAGCAAAAGUCAUGCCCCUCAGCUCCUCGAUACAUUUGUUGAGCUCUUGCUGGAGGAUAGCGGCACGAGCCAAAGCCUCGUCACGUUGGGCCUCGGCCUCAUCGCGCUAAUGGCAAGUCUCCUCCAAAGCGAAUAGUUGUGCAAAGGCUUCAUCUCGCUGAGACUCUGCCGCAUAAGCUCGUUGGGAAGCCCUGGUGACCUCCCUCAUCUCCCCCAGCUGCUUGGUGAGGUCCUCGAUUUGCUCUUGGAACUCGAUAAUGUGCCCGCGGACCUCACCAGUUGCAACUAUAUUCUCGUCCAGGUGUUCCUCAGCGAUACGCUGUUCCACCGAGCUCUAGAAGGACCGAUUCCGAGCAUCAAUUUUCAUGAACAUGCCAAAGGCCUACCACAGAAAAGCAAAAGCGAGACUAAGAAAGCUAAAAGAUUAAAAAUAUUCUCAAGAGAGCAGAUAACUUACCAUGAGAAACAUCUCCCUCAAACUGUCUCCAAGGUCAUUCAUGGAAUGUGAGCUGAAGACCGCCUAUUGCUUAGUAGAGUAGGCUAGAUGGCUGACGAGGGCCAGGAAGCGGGGAUCAGAAGCAUCCGAGACUCCCUGAACAUCUUCUGGCACAUCAUCUUGGCCGCAGAGACCGGAAUGGACUCAACAAUCACCUUAGUAAUGUUCAAUAAUUCAUUGUUUGGGGCAGAUGACAGGUUCUAAAGUCCAGGCACGCUUAGUAGCUCAACCCCAAUCACGACAGCUCCUACAGCCUAGAUAGGUGGAACGUCCAAAGGAGCAGUCCUAGUGCCCUCUUCCGAGCUGCUCUCAGCCGACUCGCUGAGCGUGAUUGGCUCCUUAAGAAUUUUAUUGGGAGCAAGAGUCUUGGCAUGAGUCGACGCUUUAGCGAGAACCAACGUCCUAGAUGCUGUAGAGUGAGAGCCCCCUGUCACAAACACUAAAGCCAGGGAAGGCGUAGGGGCAGAGGCAAAGCGACAAGCUACAGAUGUAGGGUCUGCAGCCUGAAAAACCUCCCGGAUCACAUUAGCUAUGGAUUUGUUGGCCUUGAAAACGGCCAGAGUCGCCUUCAUGCUCUCCCAGGACAAGGUGAAAUUCUUGGGAAGCUUGAUGGUGCCCAUUGAUACAACAGAAGCUGAAAAGGAAAUACAAAUCCAGAUAGAGCUCAAAACAAUGAAAGAAAAAUAUAAAAAGAAAGAAAACCAAAAAAGCAUGUCAGCUUUCCGGUAGUCUCGCAGGUCAGACAUAAACAUGCACUUCUCGAGGUUAUAUUUCUUCUUUACAGAGGUCAGUUGGAGAAGGUAAAUUUGGUCCACUAGGCUUAACCUAGGAAGGUCGUUACAGCCCUGAAGGACCUCCUCAAGAAGAGGUCGAUAUCCCAAUUAAUUCAUGAGCUCUCUUUUAACUCGACAACUACAAAAUUCUCUGCUCAACUAUUUAUCGAAUCCUUAUACCUAGCAAAUAUGGAUAGUCCGGCUCGGGGACCAAAGUAAUCGAAUUCGUGGGUAGACCUAACAAGGUGAAAGAAGGUGCAAAACAACUCAAUAGAAGGGGCAAAACCCCAACACAAGCAAACGAACUCGAAACAACACAUGAAUAAGAUAGAAUUGGGGGACAGCAUCCAAGGAGACACUAAAAAAUGACAGAAAACCUCAAUAAAGAAAGGGCAAAAGGGAAGGUCAGCCCGAUAUCACUCUGCUUGACGAAAAGGACCAAGUUAUGCCCUUGUUGGGCGUCUAUCAGACCCGUCAGUAGUGGGUAGGGGAGAACGAUCCACUCGUUAGGUAAGGGAACCCUAAUUCUAUAGAUGAUAGUGUCAGAAUAGUCAUUGGAAAAGUAGUGAGAAAAAAAAGGAAGAGGUGAUAGAGGAUACCAGACCCACUACAUGGAAUUCUAGCAGAAGCCAUAAGAAGAGCAAGACGUACCUCAAAUUGAAAAGGUAGAAAUUAUAAAGAAGAGAAAGGGGCAGGAUAGCAAAAGCAACGCAAGAGGCAGUGCAGUCAAUGAAAGUAAAAGCAUAAGUUUGAAAUGGGUAAAGGCGAAGAGGAGACGUUUUGACAAAAACUUUUCUAGAGCUGCGUAAUAAUAAUUGGAGUGUCAAAAUUUAUCCGCUCAUUAAUCAUGGAAUAAUUAAUGAGCAGGUAAAGGGGGCACUUAAUGAUAAUCGAGCCCUAGACACCCCAACCCUGGUUAAGCCCGUGCUGGAAAGACCAGACCUUAACUCUUCUAAGGCUCGAUACAUAGGUUUGCUUCACAUACAAGACCAAGCUUCACUUUGAUGAGUCAGUCCGGUCUCGAGCCUAUACAUGGGAGGCCUAAUCAUGUUUAUUCCUAUGCAUGGGAGGCCUAAUCAUGUUUAUUCCUCUAGCCUCAUGAGACAAUAAAUCCAGUGACAACAAACCCCAUGACGCCCGAGAUCAUAUCCAUAUGGCGCUGGAUAGAAUUAAAUGACCGCCUUACAAGGGAAAAGGACACAGUAUGCCCGUACGUACGGCCAGCGUGACUAUGACAGGAGAGUACAAACGCAAGAUGGCAAUUAUACGUCACUAGAGAACACAAGAGAAAAGGAAGAAAGGGAAAGACAAUCCAGACCAAACUUAUUAAAAUACACCUUGAACCUACUCUUUAUCGGAUCUCAAAAUAUCAAUGUAGUAGGUGGAUUUAGAUUCCCUCCUGCGCAUAAGUUUAUCGAGCCUUCACUAUACACUUACGUAUCAUUAAAUGAUGGAUACAAUUAGUUUUUGUUCAUAGAUGAUGAAAUGUGAUGGUGGGAUUGGGGGCAAUGCAGCAUAAACAUCUCCAGAUCAGCACGAGAUCAAACUUCUUGAGUGGCAGGAAGAAAGUUAAUGGACAAAAAUCACACACAUAAUAAGAUUCAAGUGUAUAGAUAAUAUAGCUAUUAUGCUUUUUGAAUACACAUUUGUUGGCAUCCUGAAAUUCAUAUAAAAAGAUGCAUUACAGUGACAUAAGCCGAUAGUUGGGAAUUUCACCAAUCCAAGUUCCAUGAAAUCUGAGAUUAGUUUAUCGUAAUGUUGGCUGUAUAAUCAUCUUCAUACUAUUUAUGAGCAUAGUCAAUGUUAAGUGCGCUGAAUGCUGAUUCCCACUUACAGCUUCCAACAAAUGAUAUGCCAGAAGCAGCAACAAACGCAAGCAAUUGCAAAAGCAAAGAAAGCCCCGACAUGUAAUUUAAUAAAAAAACAAACCAUCAUUUGGGGUGCCUAAAGUCCGCUUGAUUCUUCCCCUAAUGCAGCAUUAAUAGGAAAUUGAAGUAUGUGUUUUCUGAACGAGAGUAAGAGCAGCUAAAUUUAUCUCCAAGAAAUGCAAAAUGCAAUCAGCUAAGCCACUGAAAUACAAAUUAGGAACAGUUCAGACUUGGAAAUGAUUAUUCAAUUGGUUUAACAUGUUUCUCAUCCUUGUAUUAACAAUAUGCCUUUGUUCUCCUAAAUCAAAAUACAAAUCUGUUUGUAAGACAUAAAAAUUGGAUUCUAGAGCCUGGACAGCAUAGGAUAACAAUCUUUUGUCUUCCAAAAUGUAAAAAGAAUAAAAUAAUUCAACAAAAGAUUCACAAAUUAAUAUAGGAUUCACCAUUUUAGAUGCUGAGAUUUGCAACAUUACUAUCUGUCAUCCACUCCAGUAGCAGUUGCAGGUUGCUCAUUGCUGACAGGGGCUUUCUUCCUACCAGGCCCAGCAGAAACUUUGACCAUUGCUGGUCUAAGAAGCCGAUUUCCAAGAAGAAAACCGCGCCUUAACUCUUGAAUUAUAACGCCUUCCUUGUACUCUUUUGACUCUUCACGUGCAAUGGCCUCAUGCAGCUUCAUGCAAAAAAUGAAAGUCAACUCAAGUAUCAAGAGUUGUUAUGGGAAGAAAUAGAUUGUUCACUGAUUCCUAUCAUGUAAAAUUAAGUACGACAUCAUCUUUCUAGAAGGUACAGGGCAUAAUGGAACAGUUUCCUUGUUUUCUAUUCUGAGCAUUUGGUGUAUUAUUGCAUCACAAUCUUAGGGGUUAUAGAAAAGAAGAGCAUGCAUAAGAAUAAACCUUUCAAGCAUAGUUCUAUGUACUUUCAUUGGUGUGAACAAAUCCAACAAUAAGCCAAAUCAAGUAAUCUUUACACUCUAACAGGUCUCAGUGUUUUACCGAGGGAUCAAAAGGCUUUCCAACUGUUGCUACAGCAGCUACCUGCAAGCUCCUCAUAAUCUCCACAAACUGCUUGUAUAUACCUUGGUAACUAGUAUCAAUAUUCUUUUCCUUUUCUGUUUCUGGUUUUAUUUGUUGUUUGGCUAUUUCAAAGCUGUCAACCAUGGGCAAAAGGCUCUCAAUUACUUCUCCCUGGGCAUCACUCCUAAUCGUAAGCUUUUCCUUCUCUGACCUUUUUCUAAAAUUAUCAAAAUCUGCUUGCAAGCGAAUAUAUUUCUCCUUGCCAGAGGUUAUUUCUGCUGAUAAAGCUGAAACUUUCUGGAGUAAUUCAGAAUUCUCAUUUUCUAUAAUCUUUAUCCUAGCCUCAAUGUCCAGUACGGUCCCCUCAUCUCCAUGAAGAAUAGCUGCUUUAUAAGUACUAAUAAGGUUCUUCAAACUGAGCACACCAUCUGCUUCUCUUUCUGAUGCUUUCACAUCAUUCUGAUGAUUCUCCUCUUUGUCAUUUGUCUAAAUUAAGAACAAAUAUGAGAACAAUAUAUUGUUUUAAUCAUUUUGAAUUGCACCAAUCACUUUAAGGGGAAAAUAGAAGGUGCAAAAUAAUUACAAAUAUAACAUCAGGGAAGUUGGAUUUCAUGAUCUUAUAUUGUAACCUACUUCGAAAAGGUUGCAGAUGAGAACAAGGUAGCAAAGUGAAUGGAUGUUAUUUCAUUUGAUUAUCAGUUUAACAUCAAAAUUACCAAGAUCUCAAGGAUGCAGAAUAGCUGACUGGAUCUCAAAAAUGAUGAUUCUAAAUUUCAUUCAUUAGCAUUUUAAAAAAGUUAGAAGAUACAAAUAUGGGGUCCAACACCAAAUUAUACUCAAACAAUCAGCCUAAUAUCAUAGGAUAGUUGUCAUUUAUUGGUUUCAAAUUUAUGUCUGUAGAGGGUCCAGUGUAGGACAUGCACAUUCACACUGCCAUCCAACUAAACCAACCCCACUUCACCAUCUAGGAACUAUGAUUAUGUGCCAAGCUCUGAUACCCAUCCUCAGAACCUACCCAUACUGCAUUCUAGAUGACUCUGUUUGAAACAAUAUAAAUAAACAAAUGUUUGAAAAAGGAUGACUUCAACAUCUAGAACAGCAACAGCACAACUAUGGGUCCGCAAGGCACAAGCACAUGAAACCUCAUAGCAACAGCCUUCCAAACUAAGACAUCUAAUGCAGGCAUAAAGUCAGAACGACCAAUAGAAAACUAAGAAUUCACCAAUGGUUGAUAUAUCAACCAAAAUGUGAAAAUAAAUAAACAAAUAGAAGGCAUCCAUGGUUUUGUUCAUACUGAGUUUGACUACAGACAGAUUUGUGACCAAGCUUAAAGAGGGGAAGAGAGAGAGAUCUAGAAGCCAGCUAGAAUGUGCACUCAGAGAGCGUGCUAGCUGUGCUGAAAACUACACCAGGAGACAAAAUUCCUCUAGGAGACAAUCUAGAAUCUGGAAACCUUUAUGUGACAGCCAAUUGUUGAUGUUUACUUUCAGAAAAUUUUCAUAUGCCAGACGCUUUCUGAACCGACUAUACUAAAACAUCACCAGUCUCCCCCUUAGCAAAAAUCAUAGUUUAUGCCUGUGGCACACACCAAGUAUGCAAAUCGUAGCUGUAAAAGGGCAUGAGACUUGGUGAGCGUUUUGUCAUUUCUCAUUUGUUUUCGUGAAUAGCAUAUAUCAUUUGUAUAUCUACAACACCAUCAAUUAGUAUCAUUUCAAAUAUUGUUCUGCAUCACAAACUAAGGUAUCAAAUUCCAGAAAAUAGUAGAAUUUAACCCACAAAAAAAAAUCAACUCAUUGAAGAUAUUAGACUUAACCAUUGGCAUAGAUUUAAAUAAAUACAUAAAUAAUUCCCACCAAGUUUAUCGCGAUAAUAAGUCUAAAAGGAACUGCAUUGAACAAGCAUAAAUGAAUGAGUUGUGACAAUGGAUUGCAUACAGUAGGUGCAGAAUCUUCGGCGGCAAGGUAAGCCUUGAAGGAGGGCGAUUUGAAGCAGUAGUUGCCGACUGGAGACGAACCUGAGAGGGGCAAUCCAAUGAUAGGAUUGCGAAGAUGAGGCCUGUAACGAAGAGAUUGGGGGGUUAACAGUGUUCUGGUUUCUAGGGUUUUAAAAGAGAAUGAAGCAGAGAGGCGUGGAGGUGUUAAGAGAGAGUGGCUAGAGAAAGAAACAGCCAUCGAGAAAUGAUGGAUGAUGAUGAUAAUGGUUUACUUCACGAGUCAACGAUGCAAGCAGUUGCUUAGUUGCUUAAAGCCCUCCAAAGAAUAAUAGAAACACAGUGGGAGCGAAUUUGCAGCAUUAUUCAAUUUAAAUUAUAUUAUCAAAUUUUUUUUAUUAUUUGAUUUUUAGAUAAUUUAAUUUGUGAUGAAUUAUUAUUAGAUUCCCAUAUCAAAAUUAACUACUUUGAAAUCACUUUAUAUUUUAAACUUAAUUUAAAAAAUUAAGUAAUAUAAAUAUUUAAAUUUAUACGAAUUAAAUAAUAUAAAAUUAAAAUUAUAAAAAAUAAAUAAUAUAAAAUUUCAUACAAUAAAAACUUAAAAAAAAAUAUAUCCGAGUAAAUUUAAAAAAUUUAAAAUUCUUACUCAUCAAUCUUCAUUUAAAAAAAUAAUAUAAAAUUUUAUAAAUUUAUUUAAAUUUAAAUUAUCCAUAACGUACUGAUUUGCAUGUUUUGCGAGAUAAGUAAUUUUCAUGUUGAGAUUUCUACCUGUAACCCUUGUAAACGAACUGAAUUAUUCAUUUGUUGUUUAAAAUUUGAUUUGAUACAAAUUCGACAUUUUCUCAACAGUCAAUGCACAGGCUUAUUACCAUUAUCUCUGUCUUUUUAAUAAGUUUAAAAAUCAAUUCGUGAAAAUGCUUAAUUUACCUUUAUAUUUAUUAUUUUUAAUAUGAAAUUUACUUGAUAAAAAAAUAACUGAUAAAAAUUAAAUUAAAAGUGAUAUUAAGCAAAUUAGCGUAUUUAUACCAACUUUACAUUCAAUCUCUAUGCAUAAUGGCUAGAAAUCUCCUGCUCAUAUAAAUACAAAAUUUCUCUAAUCUCACAAUUAACAUAAUCAAAUUUUAUCCUUUACACUUAGGAGCUCUUACCAUUACAUUUUCUUUCAUUUUCAUUUUAUUUGAGUAAUUUUCACUUAAAAUCACUUAAAUUUUAGUAUAUUUUAAUUUCAAUCACUCAAUUUUAAUUUCUUUCUUAAAAUUCCUCAAACUUCUAUUAAAUUUUCAUUAAACUCCUUUUUACCUAUAAUUGUAAAUUUUCAAAUUAACAUGAAUUAAAAUAAAAAACUCUCUCUUCUAUUAUUUAUUUUAUAUUUUUAUUCUGUUUACUAAAAAAAAAUUCUUAUCCUUUUCUUCUCCUUCCAAAAAAUAUAUAAUUUCAUUUUAUUAUAUAUAAAAAAAAAAAGAAAAAUCUAAAGUUACCUAAAAUUAUUACAACCCGUACCAUAACAAAAGAAUAACAAAUAUAUUUUUUUUCUUUUUUCUUGAACCUAUACUCCUUAUACAUUAAUUAACAAAAAAAAAAAAGUAACAUCACAUUUCUAAUAAUAAUUAGUUAUUUAAUUUUUUUUAAUAAAGUUAGAGGAAUAUAUAUAAUAUAUAGUUCUAUUUUAUUCUAUUUUUUAUAAUUUAUUAUUUUAAAUUACUUUUAAAUUUUAAAUAUUAAAAUCUUAUUUCAUAAAAUAAAAUAAUAGUUAUUUAAAAUUAAUUUUUAUUAUAAACAUAUAAAAUUAUGUAAAUAACUAUUUAAAAAACUUAUUCAUUAACCUUUAAAAUGAAAUGACAAUUACUAAAUAAUUUGUUUUUAAUAAAAUUUUAUAUUGUUAUUUUAAAUAUACAAAUAUUAUAUAUUCCAAAUAAAUUAAUAAAUAAUAUGCACAAUACAAUUGCUUAAAUACUUAAAUUUCAUUUAUAAUUUAUCUAAAUUAAUAUCUAUAAUAUAUUUAUUAAUAUUUAAAAUAAAAUUGUAUCUAAUUAAUAUUUUUAUUAUUAAGAAAUUUUUUAGUGUGAUUUAAAAAUAAAACAUAAAAAUAUUAUGAAAAUUAAAUAAUAUAUUAUUAAUAAGUUGUGUAAGUAAGUACAUAAAAAAAGAAGAAAAAUGAAAAAGAAAAGAGAGAAAAAAAUGAAUAAUAAGAAAAAGAGAAAAAUAAUAUUUUUUAUUUAUAUUAACUUUAAAACCUAGAGUAAUAGAUAAAAAAAGAGUUUUGAAAGUAAAUUAAAGUUUGAGGAGCUUGAAUAAAAAAAUUAAAGUUAAGUGAUCAAAUUAAAAAUAUAUUAAAAUUAAGUGAUUUUAAAUAAAAAUUAACCUUUUAAUUUAAAAAAAAAAAUAAUUUUCCCUCUUCUCUUGGCCGCUUCAAUCAACUCUAGCAUUUUCUUUCUAAGUUGGUUAGUACCCUAUAUUCCUUUUCUCCUCGGCAUUGCAGAUUUUACCAUCAUCCCUUCCUCCUCGUCAGGGCUCUUGAAUGCCACAAAUCUAAGAUUCCGAUAAGAAUGCUAGAGAUAGAUAAAGCUAAGCAAGAUAACGUCCUUUAUAGUCUUUGCCCUCAAUGAAAUCCUUAGCCAACGACGACCCUCUAAUUAAUGUGAAGGCGACUUUCACUAUGCUAAGAGAACUUUUAGAGGGAAGAUAAACAAGGGAAGAAAUAUUCAUAUAUUUUUUAUUUUAUAAUUUAGUUGGCAUUUGUUAAUUGAAAAUAAAAUGAAAAUUGAAUUAUUUUUUAAUUUAAAAAAAAAAAGAAAAUAAAAAGGAAGAGAUUAAUUAUAAUUUUGUUAUAUACAUUUAAAAAAUAAGAGAUUUCGUAUCUUUAUUGCUAAAAGACAACAUACCUUAACAUUCUUUUUCUGAUCAGAAUUUUCUACUUUCCCUUCUAUUCUUCGCAAAAAUUAUCAAGUGGCCAUAUCUAGAAAUUAUUUUUCUCUCACCUAAUUUUUUCACAUCCAGACAGGUUUCACAGUUUAAUCAGCGACCGACGACUCAAUCCUACCCCCAAGACUGUCAUCCACCAAUCCUCGGAAAACACCUGAAAAUUGAACAAAAUAAAUCAAACAGGAGGAGCCACAUUGGAGGUAAUCUUGUUCUGCCAUCCUCAAAAGCGCAACCCAACGAACAAUUAGAAACACUAAUCAUAAAUGUAAAGAAGUGCAAUUAAUCACCAAAAGAACAAUUCCAACACAAACUGGCAAUUAACUAGUAAAUGCAAAACCAGACAAAACAUGACAAGCUCACAACGUAAGAAAGAUAGACAUACCCAACCCAAGAAAUCCAACAAGAAAUCAUUAAGCGACACAAAACCCCGAACACGCCCAGUAUUACUCUCCCUUAAUCAAGUAUGGACCUCAGACAAACAAAAAAAAAAGUGCGGAAAGAGACCAACACUAUGACCAACUUUAUUCUACGAAGGUACUGACGCUGACCGACUGUAAGCACACCUAGUAAACAACCCUCAAGCAGUCACUCCUCUUCUGAUUCAGACUCGGCAUUCUGAAGCCAUUCAAUAAAAGGCUUGACAUUCUUCCAGACAGGUGAGCUUUUGUUACCACCACUCACACCCUUCUGGUACCACUCAAGGAUAAACUCCUCUUCCAGCACAUCAUUGUCAUACAGCACUUUAACAGCCAAUGGUACCUCUUUAACUACCUCAGGGCCUGCCUUACAACAGAAAGACUCAACCGUGUGCAACAAAAGCAUCUGUGAUCCCUCCUCUUGAGUUGCUGCUGCCAGGUAGUUCUUCUUUUUAGUCACCUCCUUGACAAAACCUUUUUCAAGGCCUUCAAAGAGGGCAGCAAACAGAGCAUUAAUGACUUCUUGAGGUGUCCCAGAGAGUGAGCUCAAGAAGGAUUUCAGCUGGCUUGCAGGACCACCCUUUUUCAGAUACCCCUUUAUUUCAUUAACAAGGCCUUCUAGGGUGUCAUUGCUCUUAGAGCCAUUCUGAUGAGCUUUAACAUCACGUUCUGGAGACUUUGCUGAGUUAGCCUUUUCUUCAUUUGUUGAUAGCAUUACCAUAUCUGCAGUUGCGGCACUCAACUGCUCCUGGAUGCGUUGUUUAGCUGCCUCCAAAGAAGUAUCUGUUUGCCACUGGACAUCAUCAUCAUCAUCAGCAAUCACUAGGUCAUUUUCAUCAGCCUGGCUGUGAGAUGGAGAGUGAUCCUCAUCUGAGCCAUUGCCUUUCUUCUUGGAUGAUAUACCUUUAGCACCAUCCUUAGAGCUACCAGAAGAACCUCCUUUCUUCUUUGCUGUCUCCUUUUUGUGCUUCUUCAGCUCCUCAUCAGCAGCCUCACCCUCCUUGAGCCGUUCCUUCUCAGCCCUCCUCAUUGCCUUCUUGUCUUUGGAUCCCUUUUUUGGCACAGGUGGGUUCUUGAGAAUAAAUGUUGUAAUCUUAUCCCUCAUAUCAACAUCAGAAACAAAUCCGCAGGCAGCACACUUCAGGGUGAUCAUUUGUGUCUUAGUGAUAACUAUUUCAGUUUCAGGGUUCCCACAGCCGUAGCACUGAACAUACUUCUUAAUGAAGUUCUCAAGCAGCCCAGCAAGUUUUGGCGUGUCAUGGGCUCCAUUCACAAGUGAAGUUCCAGUCUUUUCGUCAAACUUGGAUUGGGCUCCAAGCUCAUUACCAAAGUACUUUGUUGUGUAGGAAGCAGGUCUAGCCAAGGCCUUAGCAAUAUCAACCAUGUUAACCACGUUAGUUUUUAUGCCAUUACCCCUACCUUCAAUCUUGGUUAUCAUUUUUGGCAUCUUAUACCUGUAAAAGGCAUCAUCACUGUUGGAAGCACCAAUAUUUUGUAAAUCCAUCUUGUCUUUACUGAUGGAGGACAGAUAUCACGUUAAUCAAAAGUGACAAACAGCAGCAGCAGUGUGCUCUCUGAUAAUAGAAAAUUCUCCCUUGGCAGACAGGUUCCUUGCAGAAGGGAAAGGCCACAUAAACUGGCAACCUAUAUAGUCUGUGCUAUGGCCCUCAAAUAUCCCAAGAUGCAUGCAGCCAACCUUAGAUGAAGAAAGUCUGAUCUUUUUUCUAGACGUAGGACAGUACUCUCCAAGUAAUCCAAUUGAUGACAAGAAGAGAGAGGCCCGUUCAGACAUAAAAGAAGCUUCAAACUUAACGAGCUCCACUUUUAACGAACUGCAGAUAAAGCAGACAAAACUGCCAACUUCCUGAUAGUAAAUGUGGAGUAAUGAUUUAAAUAAACUGAGAAAAAAAUCCAGCGCAACGAUGCAACCAUCCAACCACGUCAAAAUAUCACAGAGAACAUUAGGAUAGGAUAAAGAGUAAGAGCAGACUUGACUAUCAGGAAUAAUUGCUUUUUGUUAGCAAAAUAAUAAUAACAAGAGGGAGAGAGGAAUAGGGGAGAGGGAGACAGAGCUAAUUAAACAAAGCAUUAGUUUUUUUGGUUUUGUUUUUUAAAGAAGCACUAACAUGUAAACGAACAUUAGCAAACCAAUAAAAAUACAGAAGUACUAUGCAUGUACUUUUAGAUCAGAGAUCUUAAAGAUAAAAGAUAAAGUAACUAUUAAGCAGAUGAUUGUGAUGAUCCUACAGCAAGAAAAUUCACAUUUAUACCCAAUAACAUAAGCAAGCCAUGAACCGAUGAUUCAGAUAAAAAUCCCCCAUCUAGCGAAUGGGUGUACAUAGUAUGUACCUAUACAAUCUCCCAUACAGUGAAUGGGUAAGACCGCAAGACAAUUUACAUCAAAUAGAUUAUUAACUUUCAACAAAUCUACGCUAAACAGAUGAUGGCUUUAGCUUCAAACAAAACCCACUAAUCAUAAAACUCUAAGCACAAACCAAAUCCGUAGAAACUCCAAACCAAAAGCCAAAUCUAAUUCGCAUCGAUUAAUCACAACAACGUAGCUAAAUCCCACAUUAAAAAAAUCUAAAACCGGAAAAUAUAUAUAUAUAUAUAUAUAUAUAUAUAUAUAUAUAUAUACACAGAGACCUAAAACGAUUUCUCAACAAAUCAAAUCUCGGAUCGAGCAAAAGCAGUUUCAAUCGGGAGAGACGCCACAAAUCUCUUAAGAAAAACAACCAAACAUACAAAGAAGAUAACCAAGAAAAAUGAAAAAGAAAUCACAAUCGAUAGCAAUAAAAUCGAAUUAAAUCGCUUAAGGACUCAGAUAACUUUACCUAAGAAUGUAGAAAAUAGAAGGGUUUCAAACAGAUGGCUUCAGAUUGUGCGAGCUGUCAAGGGGGUGUAUUAUAAGAUGCUUUGGUUUGGCUUUGGGGUAGAGCAAGAGAGAGUCAGUUUUUAGGGCAAACUCAGCCUCCUAAUUUUAAUUUCCUUUCUUCUUUUCUCAUUUAUUUUUUCCCUCCUGCUGUUUAAAUAAUUUUUUUUGGACAGUUUUACGUUUUUGCCCUCCCCUGAAAAUUGCUGAAAAUAUUAGUAAUUAUUUACACGUAAAUUUUAGUUUCAAAAGAAAAAUCUGCAACUUUUAACUUUGUCUUUAAUUAAUCUAAGUGAUUUUACUUAAAUUAUAAAAAUAUAAUUAUAUUGUGUGUGUAUUUUAAAAUCUAAACUAGCAGUAUUCUUUUUAAUUAUAAUUUAUUAAGUAGAUAGCUUAAAUUUUAAAAAUCUAUGCAGUAUGAUUAAAAUACAAUCUUAUUUAUGUAUGAAAAUUAUAAUUAAAAUCUAAAUAAGACAAAUUUACGUUUUUUUUUUCAGAAAAUCAGGACAAAUUUAUGUUAAAAUUAUUAUUUCAUGUUUAUAUAUGAAAAUAAAUAAAAUAAAAGUAAUUUAACUUAAAUGACCAAAAGGAUGUAGCAAAAUUCACAGCAAUAUAAUUUUUAUUUUUUAAAAUUUAAUUAUCAAAAGUAAAGAUUGUUUCACUAGUUAAAUUUGUCACGCCCACACUACAGGAAUCCAAAUUUAUUAAAUGACCUUUUUAUCCUUGAAAAGUAAUUUUAUUUAUAUUAAAUUUACCUACCAUUUUGAUAAGACGAUGAAUAUUCAGUUUAAAUAGAAAAAUUUAUUUAAAUUAAUUUUAAAUUUUAAUUUAAUUUUUUAUUCAAUUCAAUUCAGUUUGAUUUUUAAUUUUAAAAAUUUUGAUUAUUUCAGUUCGAUUUAAUUUUAAUAAAAAAAAUUAAAAAAUCGAAUUGAAAAUCAAAAAAAAUUAAAAAAAUCGAAUUGAAUCAAUUAUUUAUAAUAAUAUGUUAUUUUCAAUAAUAUUAAAAAAUUAAAUUAUAUUAAAAUUAAAAUAUUUUAAUUAAAUUUUAAAAUAUUAAAAAUAAAAUAUAAAAAAUAAAAAAAAUUAUUAAAAAUAAAACAGAUCAAAUUGAACUAAAUCUAAUCAAAUCAGAUUAAUUAAGUUUAAUUUAAUUUCUGAUCAAAAUCGAUUCAAUUCAAUUUUUAUCAAUAUUAAAAUUUUAAUUUUCAAUUUAUUCAGUUCAGCUUCAUUUUAAAUCGAAUUGAUCGCAUGUUGACUCCAGAAAAUUUUUUUAUGCCUAAUUAAUCACGCUUUGUACGGUAAAAUAACCAUAGGAAGUGAGAUUUUUUUUUUUUUUUAUUCAAUGCAAGAAAAUUGGCAAAUGGCAAAAAACAACUGAUUAUAAAAUUUCUUUUUUGGCAUAAUUUUUCUUUUUCGCCAAUAAAUAAAAUCACAUUACAUGCUGCAGCAUAAAAGUUAUAACAAAAUUCUUAAUUAAAAGAAUAUGACUCUCAAUCCACAGACAAUAUUUCUCGAAUAAACAAUUUAACUAUAAUAUCAAUAAAAAUAUUAGAUGUCUUUGAUAUCUAUGAAAAAGUAAUUUAUAAGAUAUCUAAUUAAUAAUUUGUUAUUGUUGUAGAAAUUUAUUAAGGAGGAGUGUCAUAACAUUAUACAAAAUUUUUGAGUCUUACAUAUUAUAAACUGAAAUCGAUAGUUUGCAGCUAAGGAAAUUGUUGUUGAUAAGACACAAGUUUCAUCAUAAUAAAACUAUGCAUGGCGGAAAUAAUUUUUUGAAAAGUUAUUAUAAUAUUUAAUUUGAUUAAAAAAAAAGAAAAAAACAUAAGAUUCAAUCCCUAUAAAGUUAAAGCUACACAUUAAGUUAAAUUCAAAUCUAAAUAUAAAUAUAAAUAGAAAUGACUGAAUAAAUCUGAAUUUAUAGCUAAUCGCUUCAAGCAACCUGUCAUGGCCGCCAAAGAGUCUUUUAUGAAUAUAAACAAUUAAAGUCCAAUGAAUGGGAGCAGGGAAGCAACAACUAUUGGGAAAAAGCUCCGACGGGAGAUAGUGCCAGAUAAAAUCGAAAAAGGAUGGGAUACACACAUACCGAAUAGUAUUCUCCUUUAACUGCCAACUAAUGGAGCUUCCUAAAGCUCAAAAUCAGGUCAUCAAGGAAGCUACAAAUUCACAAGCAAGCUACCCUGUUGAUUCUACACUGAAAUCUUACAAAAAAGUAGAAAAAGCUCAAGCUCAGAGACUAAAAACACGUAACAAAAAAAGGGAAGCUAACGAAUAAAACAACUAAAGAUGUGUGCGAGAAGGAGAGGGAUUAUUAUUGAAAUGGCAAGAUUUCCUCUCUCCCCAAACUAACUGGAAGAAAGGAUAUUUUAUUUAGAGUGAGAGAGAAUAGAGGUUAACUUUCUAAUUUUUCUACUCUCAAUCAUUGUUUUAUUUGCAUUUUUUUUAGAAAAAAAAUGAAUUCCAUUAAUAGAUGAUAAUUUUAUUAUUAAAUUAAUUUUAUAAUUAGUUAAAAAAUCUUAUAAUAUAUAUAUAUAGUGAUAUUAAAUUUUUUAAAUAAAGAGAUAAAUAAAAUGAUAAUUUUAUUAUUUAAAUUAAUUUCGGGGUUUGUAAAAAAUCUAAAAAGAAGUAUAUAAAUCAAUGAAAAUACAAGUAAAUUAAUUUUAAAAUUAAUAUUAUUAAAAUAAUAUAUUCAAAUAUUAGAUAAUUAUUAAAAUAAUAAAUUUAUAUUUUUAAGUAGAAGUUAAAUUUAAUUAGUAAAAAUUAAAAACAUUAAUGAAAUAAAAAAAUUUAAAAAUAAAUUUAUUAUUAUUUAAUAUUUUAAUUUAAUUGAUUUUUUAUUUAAAUCUAAUCGUAAAAUAUAUAUGGUAAGGUUGCAAACAACCAACCGGUCGAAUCACGGUUUUGAAGAGGAGGAUGACGCGAUGCAAUGCAAUGAUGAACAGUUUGCACAUGGACAGCUCUCAGUCAGCAGAAAUGGCAUGAGGAACUUUGCGCAUGUUUUCUAUUGAAAGAAUUGUGCAGCAGCUACCCCGAGAUUUUCAUUAGGUGAUCUGUAGGAAUACUGAAUUAGGUGCAGCAUGCAAAUAUUAUGGAAUUGCAAGAUAAAAAAGUUGACUAAGAAAGUAGCAUCCACAAAUUUUUGUCUGCCCCGAUUGUUAACCUUUCGGUUUUGAUUGGAUUCACUGUAAUUUAUAUUCCAGUCCUACACAAUAUGCAUGAAAGGAAAUAAUAGGUAAAGUGUAAGAGAAAUUUUAUAAUACAACUAUUGUAUAUGCAACUAUUAUAUUAUACCAUUAACCAUAGUGAGUCUCAUAUAAAUCCCACCACAAUCAAUGAUUAACACACGACCGUUGUACAUGCUACUCUGUAACAUCACUCUGUAAAAUCAGACGCAGCCAAAGUCCAGAAGUCCAGUUUGAAUCUGGCAUUGGUUUGCAACUGAUCCAGUCAAAGCCAAUAUUAGAAUCUCGAAAACGGUUCACUAUUCAGCUCCGCAAUCCGUCUUGAACCGCUUAUGGGGCUGGUUUUCGGGCCCCUAGUCCUGAACUGAACCGUACUCAAAAUGUGAAUUAAAAAGUGGAAAAUGAUUUCACCAGUUGGAUUGCCUCAAUUUAGACUCGAACCAAACUGAAAUCUAUCUAAAAUCAGAACCGGGGGGAACCAGCACUCCAUCCAGUUUAAGCUACCCCAUGACCACAAAUUGGAACCACCGGGCAUGCAAUAAUCAAUGACAAAAUCAAUAAAUUAGGUUAGGACUGGAGAUGCUCGUUGGUUAAGUACAAUAUGUGAGCUUCAAAACUGAGAUAUGAUUGCAUCCUUUACACUCGGCGUACACGUUCCAGUGUUGCUCCAUGGCUAGUGAGGUUUUGGAACAAACCCAUCAACGGCAAAAUUUCUCGUGGCAGCAGGAAUAACCAAAUGAAUUCCAUCAAGUUCAGGCCUUGCAAUCACCUGACAACCCAAUCUAGAACUGCAAAAUCCACAGGACAAAAAUUGAUCCAGGUUAAACAAGCAAUCAAGUUAUUUUUGUACAUUUAUGUCGAAGAAACUCACGUUUCUGUGAGGCCAAAGGCCAAAUCCAACAUGCCAUUCUCCUCAUCAGUUGGGUCUUCUAAUUUGUUGUAAUGUUCCACAUCCUAACAUAAAAUUCAAACUUUAGAGCCUAACUUCACACUGUUAUGGAGCUCCUAUAUAAGAAUGAACUUACAUAACAUGACAAUCACAUGACAUGUUGAACAAGCAAGUGAGCCUUCGCAUCCUCCUGAGAUGGCAUUAAUAUUAUACAAUUAAACUACAGAAGUAACGGUUUGCUAGUAAUUUCACCCAUCUAUUUUCAGCUAUAAUAUUAAGAAGACAAGAAGAACCAAGGGGAAACUAUCACUGUUGGAAAAGGAAGGUAAGUGGAAUAUGCUGUGAGUAUAUUGUUAUGAUGCAUGUUUAUGGGAACAAAAGACAAAUGAUGGGCCAAAUUUUUAAAACUGGAUUACUAUCAAAAUAAGACACGAUUAAGGAUAAAACAUUAUAAUAGACUCAAGAGAUGAAAACACAAAAUUAAAACUGCAUCAAUAUUACCUUCAAGUUCUAUAUCAUUUUCAUGAGCAGCUUCCAACAUAGACAUUCCAACUGGAACUUUAAUGUGCUUUUCCUCUCCAUCCUUAUCCACAAAUGUUACAGAUAUCCUGAAAACAUUGUCAAAGACGUUCAGAACCAAAAAGUACGAUUGGACAAAUGCCAUGGCAUGUUUAACCAAGGAUGAUGAUGAAUUCUAGAAUCCAAUUGAAGACAGGUGCAGAUGAUUUUAUGAAUUUCAUAUAAUAUGAGUGUCACCAUGAGCAUCACAUCCCUUCAGUGCUUACCAUAUCAAAUUUCAAUAAAAAAUUUCAUCCUAUAAAUAUUAGGAAUCCAAUUAUUUAAGACAAGGAUAGUGAUCAGUUAUUGAUAAGCAAACUAAGCAUCCACAAAAGAAGAUGAUGCAGAACUGUUUGUACAGUUUAUCUGGUGAGCAUAGAAGGUCCUUGGUGGAUGAUUGAUCUUAUUCAAGUUUGGAGAGAUGCAAUUGGCCAAACAAACAAGCAACAUUCAGUAUACUGUCUCAAUGGGAGAGGAUUGGUAAGUCCAGGAGAAACUCCCAAAAUUACUGCUACUCAAGAAAACACUUAAUUAUGUCAAAGUUUAUGUUAUUUCAGAGGACGUCAGUCUGAACCUUCCUUCCAAACAAGGUAGUAUAAGUAUGAAAUUAUGCAUUCUUCAUGACUGCAAAAUUCUGGAGAUUUAAUACCUAUCCUAUUUCAAAGAAAAUUAGCCUAUGAAAUUAUUGUUUGCGAGAUUCUAGACUUCCUCAGAAUCUAAUUUGACUUUAUUAUGCAGUUUUGAGAGGGUUUAUUUUUUAACUUAGAUCCCAAAGAGAGAAAAAUAUAAAUAUUUUUCAUAAUGCUUCACUUUCUGAAAUUGUAAAUUCAAAAGAGCUUACAUGUCAUUUCCUUCGCUUCCAACCCCUACAUCACUGCCAGAAGUUGUGGUAGAAAACAGAUAAUGCUUCUGAAAUAAGGUACCUUGGAACGCUUUCCGCUCAGGAUGUAAUUCAAACUGUUUUAAAAGUUAAUUAAUCAAUGGAUAUCUAAAAAUAAGAAUAAUGAGAUAAAUAGAAAUUAGUUUAAGACUAAAAAAGGUCCCUUAUGGUCCCAUCUAUAUAUAACUUGUAAGCAGGUUUAUCAUGUGUGAUUAGAAUAAGUUGAUCAUUGUUCUCAGCAUUUAAAUGAUUCACAAUUUAAUCACAUGCAUCUUGACUCAGGUGGCGAAAUGAAGCAAGGUUAAAAUUUGAUCAAGUAGGCAUAGGAUUAAAAUUUACAAUAUAUCUGCAUCAUCCAGAAUAAUGAGAAAUUCAUACUUCUUUUCCAAAUACCACAUUCUUUCACUUCCAAAUUAAUUCAGAUUUCUCUAGUUUAACUUUUGAAAUGCUUGCAAACUCUUAAGUAUUUUCUCAACUUGGUGAACGUUCUCCACUACAAUUUCAAGUGGUUCAUAAAUUCUGACUAAAUCCUUCUAUAGAAUUUAAAAUGCCAAGUAUCACCGCAAAAUGAAUAAUCUAAACUGACCUGUCCCUUUAUGAAGAAAAUUGCAGGAAACAGUCCUUUUCUCAUGAAUACAUUCUAUUUGGAAUCUAUCUAGGCCAAAUUCUAAAAUACACAAGAAAAUGAUUGCAGCAACCUCCUUCAGCUCAAACAGCAUUUGAAACCAAGACCAAAUCUAUCAUAAAAACAAUUGCUUGUACACUUCCUUAUACAAAGGAAUGUAACUGCCAGGCAAUAAAGGUUCUUCUUCCAUUUCAAACUCCACAAUCAAUCAUGUACCAAAGCAUCCAUGAGGAGUAAUAGAGUUUAACAAUAUUAAUGAAUGUUUAGUAAAAUUCCUAAAUUACUUGGAUGAGAAUUCAAACAUGCAAAUUAUAUCACCAACGGAAAAGAAUUUAGCAGACGACACUGAUUACUGACACCACAGUUCAGAUUUAAAAAGAAAAAGGAAAAAAAAAAAAAAGCAGAUGCCUUCAUUGCAUCCAGAAGAGAACCUACCCAAGAUUGUCGACAUUGACUAUAAGGUGUUCUCAUAAAUUCUGUUCUGCACAGGAUGUACACAUGCGUGCACAGAGUGAAUCAAUGUCGCAAUACAGAGAAUAAAAUGAUAGCAGGUACAGAUUCCAAAUACUAAACCCAGAUAAGAAAUGAGCACAUACCUCUUGCACCCUGUUUAACAGUCUGAAUGCCAACUCUUGAAAGUCUAGCAACUAGCAUAAUUGCCCACCUUAAUAUCUCCUAUUUUCCCCAAACAAAAUAGAAGGAAAAAAAAAAAAAGGAACUAUAAGAACGCAUAUUACAUCUUGAGAAAAGAAGGGCAACUGAAAUUAUCCUCCAAUAAAAAGUUUCUUCAGUCUGCAAAUCCGUACAGCUAUUAUGCUAGCAUAAAUUGCAGCUCAAAUAACUCAUAACAGUCAAAACUGCAAUACUGCCCCAAAAAUGAAAUUGGAAAAACAGAAGCUUACUCAGAUUGGUAAAUUUUAUUCCACCAAAGACAAAGAAGUAAAGAGAGAUAGAAUAGCAGAAAGAGAACCUUUCUUAUUAGAAGCCAAGAGCAAAGUCUUGAUCUAACUUGCAAUCAGUGUUAUCAAGGCGAGAGGCAACACUAAGGCGACAGACCUAAAACGAUUUCUCAACAAAUCAAAUCUCCGAUCGAGCAAAAGCAGUUUCAAUCGGAAGAGACGCCACAAAACUCUUAAGAAAAACAACCAAACAAACAAAGAAGAUAACCAAAAAUAAUGAAAAAGAAAUCAAAAUCGAUAGCAAUAAAAUCGAAUUAAAUCGCUUAAAGACUCGGAUAACUUUACCUAAGAAUGUAGAAAAUAGAAGGGUUACAAACAGAUGGAUCCGGAUUGUGCGAGCUGUCAAGGUGGGAGAUUGUAGGAUGCUUUGGUUUGGCUUUGCGGGAGAGCAAGAGAGUGUCUGUUUUCUUUACAGUUUUACGUUUUUACUCUGUCCUGCAAAUUGUUCAAACUAUUAUACUCCUCCGUCCACUUUGUUUCUUCGUCCUAUUAAAAAAACAAUUUUUUUAUUAACUUUUUAAUUAUAUUUAUUUUAAAAAUAUUAAAUUUUAUUAAAUAUAAAAUGAAUUUUUAAAAUAAAAUAAAAUAAUAAUAUUUAAUUUAUAUAUUAAUAUAAUAUAAAAAAUAAAAAUAAAUAAUAAUUCUAAAUAAUUAAAAAAAAGAAUAAAAAUUAUAAAAGAAAAAGAGUAAUUAUUUAGACGUAAAUUUAUCUAAAAUUAAUCUAAGUGAUUUUACUUAAACUAUAAUAUUAUAAUUAUAUUGUGUGUGAAUAAGAAAAUUUAAACUAGCAGUAUUCUUUUUAAUUAUAAUUUAUUAAGAAGAUAGCUUAAAUUUUAAAAUUAUAAGCAGUGUGAUUAAAAUACUAUCUUAUUCAUAUAUGAAAAUUAUGGUGAAAACCUAAAUAAGACAAAUUUAUGUUUUUUUUUUUCAAAUCAGGACAAAUUUAUGUUAAAACUAUUAUUUCAUGUUUAUUUAUAAAAAUAAAUAAAAUAAAAAUAAUUCAACUUAAACGACCAAAAGGAUGUAGCAAAAUUCACAGCAAUAUAAUUAUAUUUUUUAAAAUUUAAUUAUUUACUGUUAUAAAAAACUCUCAAGGAGAAAAGUAUGAAAAUCUAUAAUAGAUUUAUACAAAAUUUUAAAUUCUAUUUCAUAUAUUAUAAAUCGAAAGUUAUUGUUUAUGGUUAAGGAAAUUACCGGAAAAAGAUCAUUAAAUAUGUAUAACAAGAUUAUUCACAUUAAAAAAUAAUUUAUUAAAAUGCAAUUAUAAUACUUAAUUUGAUUUAAUUAAAAACUCAAUUCCUAUAAAAUUAAAGCUAAAUUAAGAUUAAAUUUAAAUUUAAAUAUGAAUACAAAUGAUCGGAUAAUUUGGAUAUAUAGUCAAUCGCUUCGAGCAAUCUAUCAUGGCCGUCAAAUCAUCUUUUAUGAAUAUAAGUGACUAAAGUCAAAUGAAAUGAAAGAGAGAAACAACGACUGUUGGGAAAAGCUUGGACUCGAACUGACGUUGGAUAAAAUUGAAAAACAAUGGGAUACACAAAUAUCCAAUAGGAACACUUUUUUAACUUCCUACUAAUGGAGCUUCCCAAAAGCAGGUUAUCAAGGAAGCUACAAAUGCACAUGCAAGCUACCCUGUUGAUUCUACGCUGAAAUUUUACAAAAAGAAGUAGAAAGCUCCAAGCUGAGACUAAAAACACAUGACAAAAAAAAAGGAAGCUAAAGAAUAAAACAACUAAAAAUGUGUGGGAGAAGGAGAGGGAUGACUAUUGAAAUGGCAAGAUCUCCCCUCUCCUUAAACUAACUAGAAGAAAGGAUAUUUUAUUUAGAGUGAGAGAGAAUGGAGGUUAACUUUCUAAUUUUUUUACUUUAAAUACUUAUUUGGUUUGUAUUUUUUGUAGAAAAAAAAUAAAUUCUAUUAAUAAAUGAUACUAUAAAAUUUUAAAGUAUAUACAUGUACAUAAAAAAUAAUUAUACUUUAAGAUUUUAAUUAUUAUAUAUAUUAUGAUAACCUCCAGAUCUUUCAUAGCCCCAGAAAUAAGGUCGGGUCCAAAAGAAGGCCACAGGUCCAAAACCCAUCAGAUCAUACACUCGAGAGGCGGCUCGACUUCACGAGCCUGGGCCGGCAACCGAGGAUGAUCCGGAUCAGAUAUGAGCACAAGCCCCAUAAGGAAGUAGGCCCAAUCACUCACUACCCCUACCCGCAUGCGCUCUGAAGAGCAUUAAAUGGCCGUUACGCAUGAAGCAGGUGCCUGACACGCCCGUACGUACGGGCUUGAGUGACAAGGACAUGAAGCACUAUAUACCGGGGGGUCUUUUCUUGCAAGGGGGUACCUUCUUCUUUUUCUUCUCCGGCCUGGACUCCAUUUUACUUUCUCUGCAACUCUUGUCUAAGGACACGACUCUUAUUCAGGAAACCUGACUUGAGCGUUGGAGGGUCUCCGCCGGGGCAUCCCCGGUGGAUCUCUGACCCCUUUUCCCUUGAUUUGCACGUCAUUUCCUCAAAGAAAACAUGGAGAGGCCCAUUUGACAGACCCAACAGAGAGUCCAAAAAGAAAUCAGAUCCAUAUAACAGAGGACGAAGGAGAACCAGAUCUAUCGGAUAUGGAGUCCAAGUAGAUUUAGAGUUAUCAUAUUAUAUAAUAAAUUAAUAUUUUAUAUUUAAUUUAUUAAUAUAAUAAACUAAUAUAUCCGAUUAAUAGUUAUUUUAUAUAUUUACAGUAAUAAUUAAAUAUAAUUUAUAAACACAUAAAAUAUAUCAAUUCUGCAAGUUACAAUAAAUUAUGUGAUAUCAUUUAUUUAGUGACAGAUAUUAAUUAUAUUAAACUGUUAAAACAAACAGAGUGCUCCAAAGCUGCUGAUUAAUUCAGACAUGACAUCAAAUGGUGUUAUUGGAACCCACACAACACGUUUGGUGCUUGGAGAAAGGAAUCUUCUGGUUUGGCUAGCAGUUGUUGGGGGCGUUGUCAGCGACUGUUUCGAAAUGCCCGUCGACUAAAAGUGCUGGGAUUUACUGGCCUUUUAUGCAUUGCGGCAACUCAUAGGAACGUUUUCGGCACUUCUUUUGAGCAUGCAAUCUCCCAAUGAGUAAAGUACAAAAGAGUAUAUUAUUCUCUCCUUUUUAUUUCUCUCAUAAAAAAUGUAAAUAUUAAAUUUUAGUUUUAAAAAAUUUACUGAAAAGUAACUAAAUAAAAUAAUUUAGUAUAUAUUUUGGUUCUAGACUUUUAUUUAAAAAUUUAGGCAUUUUAAAAUUUUCAUAGUUAAUUAUUGAUACUUAAAAUUAUUAAAUAUUUAUGCUGUAUAUUUAAUUUUAUCUGUAUUAUGAAUUUUUAAAAAUUAAAUAAUUAUAGUUUUAUAAAGAUAAAAUUGAUAAGAGAAAGAUUAGAGUGGUACUAAUAUUUUGUAUGAAAAUAUGGGCCAAAUAAUAUAUUUGGCAAAUAAGUAUGACUGAGAAAUUUAUUUACAUUAAAUUGUUUAUCCUGAAGCUUGGUAUCAUUUUUUCUUUUUUAAAAAAGAAACAAAAUAAAAAGUGGAAAAUAAUACUUUUCUGUAUCAAAUUUUUAUUUGCCUUUUUUUGAAUAAAAGUAAACAAAUGAAAGAGAUGAAAAUAAAAUAAUUUUCCUUAAUCGGAAAGGCAAACAAUAAGGAAAUAAAAUUUUGAUAAAUUUUCAGAGGAUAAAUAAAUGAGAAAGAUACUCUUUUAAUUUUAAUUUUAUUUAAAAAACAUAAAAAUAAAAAUAUUAUAGAAUUAUUAAAAUUUUAAAACAUAAAUCAUUAGCAAAGUAUAUAUUUUAAACUUAUUUAUAAAAAUAGAAACUUGAAUAUCACAGCAACAUUUAAAUAAUAAUUGAAUUCGAAUGAAAAACAAAUUUGAAAUUAAUUUUAAUCAGAACUUAAAAUAACAUAAAUUAAAUGUGCAUAAAGCAAAAAAGCUUUAAAUUGAGCCGGGUCCUCGACUCGUGGCGCGACUGACUCUGGGAGGAGGCUUCGACGCGGGAUCCACGCCGUGACCAAGACGACACAAAGUCGCACCUUAAUCGGCCUAACCUUUGACUGCUAAACGCGCGUAAUUUGAUGCUUUUUUUCUUUUUGAUACAACUCGAAUUCGAGACCCGUUCACAUAUAUAUAAUAUAUAAAGAGAGAAAUUUGAAGCACCGAUUUCAUUUCCAUCUCCAGGCUCUCCUGCUGCAGGCCCUCAACGAGCUUUCCUCUCUCUCUCUCUCUCUCUCUCUCUCUCUCUCUCUCUCUCCUUAGAUUUGCAGCGAUGAAGAGCCGAGGCACUGCCAAAGUCUCUGUCAAGUUUAUUCCGAUCCUCUGUAUAUUUUGCUUCGCUCUUGGAAUUCUCUUCUCUAACAGGUUCCUCUUUCUCAAUGUCUGUUCUUUUUCUAUGGCUGAUCUUUUGCAUUUUCAUGGAUUUUUAGGGUUUUGUUUCCUCUUUUCUCCUUUCUCAUUUUGAAUUCAACUCGUUUCAAUUUGAACUUAGAUCGUUCUUUUGCAGGGCAUGGGACCCACCUGAAUCCAAUGGCCAUCUCAUGGCGCAGCGUCGACGUGAACAAGAGUUGCAAGUUGUCUCCGAAGACUCCACAGCUCAGAAGGUUUGUUUUAUCUAACGAAUCAUCAAACUUAGUUUCUUUUUUAAUUUUUUAGUUUCUUUGAUUCUGAAAUUUAUUGUCUCUUUGUUUUAAGAAGCUUUCACAUGAUAAAGAUGUGAUGGACGAAGUUUUGAAAACUCAUGAUGCUAUUCAGUGAGUUAACAAUCAUCUUUCUAUUUUUUUUUUCUGUUUCUCACGCUAGUUUAGCUUUCGAUUUUGCAUGAUUUCUAUGUUGGUUAACAUAUUGGUUUACAUUGGUCCAUUUUUUGGAGGCCUGCCAGAUCGCUAGACAAGUCAGUUGCUAUGCUUCAGAUGCAGUUAGCUGCAUCUAGGAGUUCUCAGGAAAUGAGCUUGAAUGGCUCCGCUGCCCUGUCCGUUUUGUCUCAUGAGGGUCCGCCCCGGCAGAAAGUGUUCAUGGUUAUUGGAAUUAAUACAGCUUUUAGCAGUAGAAAGAGGCGUGACUCUGUCAGAGAGACUUGGAUGCCUCAAGGUUUUAUUGCGGUUUUGAAACCUUUGUUUUCUUUUAGUUGUUUUAUGUCAAUCCAUGUUGUAAAAGUUCAAAUGGUUUUCUUGUUUGAUCAGGGGAGAAGCUUCUUCAAUUGGAGCGCGAGAAGGGGAUUGUCAUUCGCUUCAUGAUUGGCCAUAGGUGAUUGUUUUCACUCUCUUUUACUUCUUUAAGCAUAUAAUUUUUUGUUGGUAAGAAAAGUUUUAGCGUGCUAUAGGCGGUAGACAAUUAUCCCUUAGUUGUAGAUUUAAAAUGGAAAUUUAACUUUUUGCAACACAGUUUUUAACUCACGGAGUAGAUAAAUUGAUUUGCUUCUUAGCUAUGGGUAUAAACUGCCCUAUUUUUCAUUUUUUGGUAUGAACUCUUUGUUGAUUUUGUCAUCAUUCUUUUGCAGAAUCUCCAAAUCUUUGUGUAGGAUCAUCAGCUAGAUGUUAUGAUGUUGGUUGAUAAAAUGUUCAUUUGAAUUCACAUGCUCCAAGGAAAAAAAAAUACUUAAAUUGCCCCUUGCAUGAAUGUUGUUGCUUUGCCCUUUUUCUUUUCUUUUUUUUUUUUGGGAUAAUUAAAAAAAUAAGUCAAUGUGAGCCUGUUAUGAUAAAACAACAAUUUUUUAUAUCAUUUUGAGAAAAACUACUUGAUAUAAAUAUUUUCUGUUGUAUUGACUUGGGAACUGACGUUAUUGAUAAAUUUAUUGCUUCAGUGCAACAUCUAAUAGCAUUUUAGAUAGAGCCAUUGAUUCAGAAGAUUCUCAGCAUAAGGAUUUCCUUAGACUGGUAAGAACACGUGAACAAUAUGUUUGUAUCUGCCUGCUAUUACAGCAGCCAUUGUUUGGGUCACACUACAAUUAAUUUUAUGUUUUAUAGGAGCAUGUUGAAGGAUACCAUGAAUUGUCUGCAAAAACAAAAAUCUUCUUCUCCACUGCUGUUGCUAAAUGGGAUGCUGAAUAUUACAUCAAGGUGGAUGAUGAUGUCCAUGUUAAUCUGGGUAGGCAUUGUCCUUUAGGUUCUUUUUAAUUUUAUGUUGUGGAAGAAAUUUUGUUUGUAUUACCAAAAGCUGAACUGUUACACUUGCAUCUGUAGGCAUGCUAGCUGCUACUCUAGCACGGCAUCGAUCAAAACCCAGAGUGUACAUUGGAUGUAUGAAGUCAGGGCCAGUUCUUGCUCAAAAGUAAUCCUCUUGGACCUCUUAUUGAUGAGAGUAUAAUUGUUAAUAGCUUUGUAUCUUUUCACAGUGGUGAUGCAUGUUUCUUUUUUAAUAUUCUUUUUCUAUUUUUUAGGAAUGUUAAAUAUCAUGAACCAGAGUACUGGAAAUUUGGAGAGGAAGGGAACAAAUAUUUCCGACAUGCAACUGGACAGAUAUAUGCAAUCUCUAAGGAUCUUGCGACAUAUAUCUCAAUCAACCAGUAAGAAUAGCUAUAUUUUUUUGUGGAAGUACUUGAGCCUAAUUUGCUUCCUUAUAAGCCAUCAUAUAUCUGUCUUGGUCCUCUUUCCUCCAUCUUGAAUAGUUUAGAUCCUAUGGUUUAUGGAUUUAUGCUGGGCAUAUGAUGUUACCCUUUUCUGACAUCAAAUAGUUCCAAGCACAUCAUUUGCCAAAUGAUUUUUGGUUUUGGCCAGGCACAAUUGGCAUUUCUAAAGAUCAUAUUUGACAGGCAUGGCUGAAACAGAAAAGCAACUAGAUGUGAUGAUUUCACAUUUAUUGUAUUGACUUAUAAAAUUUAUUCCUGAGGAAGAGAGUUAAAAUUCUAUGUGCAUUUAUUGUUAAUGCAGGCCCAUAUUGCACAAGUAUGCUAAUGAAGAUGUGUCGCUUGGAUCGUGGUUUAUCGGUCUUGAGGUUGAGCACAUUGAUGACCGCAACAUGUGCUGUGGAACUCCACCAGGUACUGUUUUGAGGAGUUUGUCUGGAACAAGUCUUUUAUGGAUAUCUUAAUUUAGUGUUUUUGAUGGGAUCCUCCUCUUAAUUCAUUUCCUUGUCCCUAAAUUUUCUGUUAGUAUUUCAACUUGUAUUUGUUGCUGCUGCUGCAGAUUGUGAGUGGAAGGCACAGGCAGGUAAUGUGUGCAUUGCAUCUUUCGACUGGAGCUGCAGUGGAAUCUGUAAAUCAGUGGAGAAGAUCAAAUUUGUUCACGAAAGGUGUGGUGAAGGGGAUGGAGCUGUAUGGAGUGCUCUCUUUUAGAUCGAGUGGGAUGUUGCUACUUGGGCAAAUGAACAUGCAUUAAGUAUUUAUCCUGGAGUACAAUAUGGUGAGAGGCAGUUGCUAAUUCCGAUGAAGAAAACACAUGUUACUCCGUAAAAAUUUCCAAAUAUGUUGCCUUUUCCAAUUCUUGGAGAAGCCUUGGAAGAGUUUGGAGCAGGAGCUUGUGCUGUGGUUUACACAGGAGCUUUUCAUUCGAGAUGCUAGUUUGAGUAGACAUGGUUAGCCGAAGAGUGUCACCUUCCCGAAUUAUUAUCUGAUUGUGGGAGGAUACAUUACAAUACAUAAGUAUGUAUACAUAUCAUUUUUGUUUUAGAUUGGGAGCUAAAUAGUUAUUUCAUUUUGCCCCUCCUCCCUCCCAAAUACAGAAGGGAAAAAAAACAGAUAUUAUAAUUUGUUAGAUACUCCCCAAGUUUGCUGUGUAACCGGCCAUGUUAGCAGAUAUAACUGAUUCAAAUUGGGAACGCUUUCUUUAAUUAUAAAAAAAGUGUGGCCUUUUUGCGAGGUUCAUAAUUUUUUUAGUCUAUUUGUGCAAAUUGAGGCACCAUUUGGUUCAUCGCCUUUGUUGCUUUCUGUUAUUGUAUUUUACAAUAACCAAAUAACGGGGAAGUUGAUCUGCUGUUUUUUUUUUUUUUUCCCUGUCAAAGACAAAACUUCAUUGCUUUAUAACCAGUAGAAAGGCCCAAAAAAAAACUUCCUUGUAAAUAUAACUAUUACUUUAAAACCAUUUACCUUAUUUUUUAAAACUUCCAUCCAAAUAUAGUAUAAAAUUUUAUUCAGCCAUACUAGUUGUUUUUAAUAAUUAUUAGUUAUUUUAAUAGCUUUAUAUUGUUUUAACAAUGAUUUUUUAGAAGUUAAAAGAAUAAUUUUCAUGAUUCACAUCCUUAACUUUUAAAUAUUAGUAGUUUAAUCUAGAUUAAAACUCUAAUUACUUUCUCAAAAGUUAUUGCCAAAGCCUAAACGAGAAGGGUAUAAAUUGAGUUUUUUAAGCUCUAAUUUUAUUAUUUUUAUUUUCAUAAUAAAUAAUUAAUAUUUUUAAUAUUUAAAAUGUAAAAUUAAUACUGUAUGAAGAAAAACCAAAAAAUGAUAUUCACAUUUUUUUUUACUAAAACUGAGGCCUAUUUUAAAUUUUUUUUUUUUUUUUGAAAAAUAGCCAAAAAUUCGUUAAUUAAGUGGAAAAAGUCCAAAAAAUGUUUUCGGUCCCUUAGGCAAUUUUGACGUCGAUUCUUCAUCGGUCUGCAAAUUGCAAUACGGUUCGUUUCUUGGGGACGCACUGUACUGGACCAUCUUCUUCCCUCCGUGGACUUCCUUGCUCAUCCGGCAUCCAAUUUUCUAUCUCCACAAGACUUCAAUCACUCUAGUUCCAAGACCUAAAACUGGUUUUUAGAAGACGAACUAGAAAGUAAUCGGACGGUGGGAGAAUCGGAAUGGAGAACGCUGACGUUUUCCUAGGUUUGCAUGACUUCUUAGAGCGCAUGCGCCAACCAACCGCCGCUGAUUUCGUCAAAUCCAUUAAGAGGUUUUUCUAUCUCUCUCUCUCCGAUCACAAUAUAUGCAUACAAAUAUUUGUAUAAUUAUUUAUUUUUUGCUUUCGUUUUCAUUGCUUUCAGUUAUAAUGAGAAGGCAAUUGGUGCUGGUCUUUGAAUUAGGCAAUUAUAGCUUGUAGUUUUGGCUUCAUUUUGGAUUUUCCCUUUAAUUUAGAUGGGGAAUGGCUUUUUUCCUGUUUCCAAAUCAAGAGGAGCAUUUCCAAGAUUUUUGGUGACACUCUACCCAAAAAUGUUUUGGAAUUGAUUGUUCCUUGUUUAUAUUGGUUCAGGGAGAGUUAAGUAGUUUUGAGUUUAAAAAUUGUAGCCGUGCAGGAGUCCAAAUAUUUCUGUUUUUUUUUUUCUUUAAAUUUUUAUUUUUCAUAAAUUAUAAGAAUGCAGUGAUACAGUACAUUGCGUGGCUAGUUUAAGAAGAAGCAUUAGGAGCUCUGGGAAAAUGGGAAGCUGGCUUAGGCCAUCUCAUGUCCAUUCUAUGACAAGUUUAGGCUUUUCUGGUAUGCUAAUAUAGUAACAUUUGAGAGAGAAUUUGUACUUCUUGAAUUUGAUCGAAAUUGGUAGGUCAGGUUAAGAGUAUGAUAGUUUACAAGUCAAAUUCGUGCAAGGUUUGAAUGUAGCUUGCUCCUUAUUGCAGCUUCAUUGUCUCUUUCUCAAACAAUGCUCCUGAUCCAGACAAGGACAGUGCUCUGGUACAGGAGUUUCUUGCCAACAUGGAAGCAGCUUUCAGGGCUCAUCCACUCUGGGCUGGUUGCUCAGAUGAGGAGCUGGAGAGUGCUGGUGAAGUGAGUUACUGGAUCUUUACCUUGUCUGAAAUUUCAUUGAUUAUUAUACUGGUUGUCUGUUUCAUAAUCAUAGUCAUGACAUGAUAGGGAUGGAGGACAGACCCCCUAGAAAGUAAAUAAUCAUGUUGUGACCUGUGAAAAAAUUAAUCCACAUAUUCCAAGUCUUUCAUAAGAUGAUAUGUGUAAGCACUGUCAUCCUAAGUUACUAUGACUUGUUUUAUCUUCCAGUAUACAUCUAUUUGUUGGUUAUUAACUGGUCAUGAUUGAUGAGUCUUAAGGCUGCUUAUAGUUUCAUACUUUUCUGCUAAUUCAUAUGAAGUCUAAAACAUGCAAAAUUGACAAGGUUAAUGGCAGAAAAUAAUAGUGGGAGACUGCUGAACAGCUACCAAUCUAACAACUUCUGCCUCUGUCCUGAUAUGUUGUCCAUCAUAGAUUUCAGAUGUCAAAAAACAACUGCAUUAUGAUGAAUUACUGAACGAGGGUUUUUCUGUAUUUUUGGAAGUUAAAGUAAUUUGCAGUUUUGCAAAAGAAAUAACCAGAAAAAUUGAUUUCCCUCAAUGGACUUUUGAACUAAUGAAAGAAGUUCUGGCAGGGGGUAGAAAGCAUCAUCACUAGUAUCUACAACCAGCUUUAAUUCCCUUAUCAUAUAUAUAUAUAUUUUUCUGCUCCCUGCGAGGGAAUAGGAUCAGUCUACUGAAUUUUUCAUGAGCUAUGGCCUUCAGACUCUACAGUUUACAACAGCUGACGGUUUCCCACCCAGCAUAGCAUGAUAGAUGAACUAUAACUCCACAACCAGCAUAGUAAGAGGGAUCAUUAAGUGCAGUUCUUCAAUCCCUAAUAGAUAAUGUAACAGGUUAAAGGAGAACUUGUACAAGUCAUAGGUCUUACCAUUUGGCAAUUCAUUAAUUAUCAUCCUAUAAGAGUUAUUUAACUUGAUUUAUUUGGCAAGUAGGUAGUAUUUUUUUUCUAGCCCUUCAAUUCAUCUGUUGCUUGGGUUAGGGCUGCAUUUCCGUUGGUAAUCAAGUGGCGUCGGAUUAGAAUUCAUUUUCUCCAAAAUGAAAAAUACAGCUACUUAUAGUGCUACAAGCAUUCUCCAUAUAUAUUGUUCAGAUGACUUGCAACAAGAUGAAGCAACAAUAAGAGAAAAGUGAAAGAAAAAGGGGUAAGGGAAAAGCAGACUACAAGGGGGCAGUGGGAGUUUUGUCAUUGAACUUCUUUGCUUGUAAUCUUUCAUGGCCUAUGACUGACUCUAGAGGCUAACUAGUGGUGAUGCCAUAUCAAACAGACUCUUAGGGCUGCAUCAGACGAUGCAAGGUGGGAAAUUUUGAAGAAUGAAUAGAUUGGUAUUUACAUGAAUGCCAAAAGCUAUCCUGCUUAAACUGCAUUAUCAGAAUCAGAAUCAGAAAGUAAAAUCAAUUCCUAUCCAAUUAAAUACUUGUUUUUUUUUUCUUUUCUUCAUUAAGAACCAGAUUACUGUGAAAUGAAUAGAACUUUUCAUGAAGCCUAACUUCAAUAGGGUUGAAUAAAUUAUGUUCUACAAUUACUAGUAUUCAUGUUAUUUUUCCCCUUUCUGGUAUCCCCACACUUGGUGGGCAGGGAAGAAUAGAAGUAAUUAUGUAAUGCUGUUAAU